UACGUAGGGGGCGAGCGUUGUCCGGAUUUACUGGGCGUAAAGAGCGCGCAGGCGGUCGUUCAAGUCGCGUGUGAAAGCCCCCGGCUCAACUGGGGAGGGUCACGCGAUACUGAUCGACUCGAAGGCAGGAGAGGGUAGUGGAAUUCCCGGUGUAGUGGUGAAAUGCGUAGAUAUCGGGAGGAACACCAGUGGCGAAGGCGAACUACCCUGGCCUGGUUCUUGCGCUGAGGCGCGAAAGCUAAGGGGAGCAAACGGGG
rnacentral:rRNA from 1 species